AAUCGCUUCAAGGUACGCAGAAUACACCAGGGAACUACGUAGGCCUGCGCGCCAAGAACAAACAACCGUUUAUGAAUGGCAUAAUGUACGUGUCCACAAAUUAAUUUCUGGAUGCCUUUGAAACUUGACCAGCUGAGGAAGAGAUGAUGAGGGUAACUCUGUGUUUGUUGGUAGUUGGGAUGUUGGGAUUAUUGUUUACGGCAAGUAGUGAAGAAGUCAGAUUGUCUGACUAUAUGCCUUGGAUUUACAACUUUUAUGAUGUCAUAGCUCAGGGAACCUGUAUAACCCGGACUAACAAAACUGCCAUGUUGUGGGCAGUGAGGAGAUCCUGCAACGGGACGAAAACAUGCACAGAUCUGUGCACUAGUAAUGGGCUGGCUUGUUUGUUCUCCUACCACAUCUACAAAAAUCCUAAGAUAAUCAGUGACAGCAAUAACAAAAAGACGGAAGACGAUAUCAUGGGGUUACAGACGCAUAUCUAUGGGUUUCAUCAGGGUUGCACUUGGCCUGCUGGUAAUUGUGGGCCAAACUAUUGCUGUUGUGAAGGUUUAUCUAACCCAGCAUAUAACAAUAACUAAGAUAUUCUCAUUCAAGAGCAAUGGAAGUACAUGUUUGACAUAUUUUGCAUGCACAAAAAACCGUGUGUGUAAGAACUGAAUAACUGUUCAGGUAAUGUGCUUUAAGGAAAGGUUUCAUAAUCACCAUGGGGAUAAAAUUGAUAAUGAGGUAAUUUGCAUUAAAAGACUAUAGCAUGCUGACAAAAGC